UUUUGGUAGCGUUGGUUUGUUUGUUUGUCUGUCUGUUAGCAACUUUACUGAGAAAUUUACAGACGGAUUGAUCUGAAAUUUUCACCAGAAGUGCGUCUCAGCCCCAGGAGGAUCCCAUUACCUUUUGGUGGUGAUCCGGACAAAAUUCUGGAUACUGUGAUCCAGAACACACAAAAAUAAGGGUGUCGCUGGAAUUUUCAAUGCUGAAAGAAAACCAAUGGGCGGCACAGUGGUGUAGAUAGGCGGCACAGUGGUGUAGUGGUUAGCACUGUCACCUCACAGCAAGAAGGUCCUGGGUUCGAAUCCUGGUCAGGGCAUUUCUGUGUGGAGUUUGCAUGUUCUCCCUGUGUCUGCUUGGGUUUACUCCCACAUCCCAAAAACAUGCCUCAGUGGGGUUAGGUUAAUUGGUCACUUCCAAAUUGCCCAUAGAUGUGAAUGUGAGUGUGGAUGGUUGUUCCUCUCUAUAUGUCAGCCCUGCGAUGAACUGGCGACUUGUCCAGGGUGUCCCCUGCCUUUGUCCGAAGAUGCUGGGAUAGGCUCCAGCCCCCCACGACCCCGGGAACGGGAAUAAGCAGUAGAAAAUGAAAAUGGAAAGAUAACCAAUGAAGAUACAAG